AUACGGAGGAUCCGAGCGUUAUCCGGAUUUAUUGGGUUUAAAGGGUGCGCAGGCGGCCAUUUAAGUCAGCGGUUAAAUCGUGGGGCUCAACCCCAUUCUGCCGUUGAUACUGGGUGGCUUGAUUGCGGUCGAGGUUGGCGGAAUUCGUUGUGUAGCGGUGAAAUGCAUAGAUAUGACGAAGAACACCGAUUGUGUAGGCAGCUGACCAGACCGCAAAUGACGCUCAUGCACGAAAGUGCGGGGAUCGAACAGGAUUAGAUACCCUGGUAGUCCGCACAGUAAACGAUGAAUACUUGUUUUCGGCGAUAUAAUGUCGGAGGCAAAGCGAAAGCGAUAAGUAUUCCACCUGGGGAGUACGCCGGCAACGGUGAAACUCAAAGGAAUUGACGGGG
rnacentral:rRNA from 1 species